rnacentral:rRNA from 1 species
UUAGUGGCGGACGGGUGAGUAACGCGUGGAAAACCUGCCGUAUACUGGGGGAUAACACUUAGAAAUAGGUGCUAAUACCGCAUAAGCGCNCAGCUUCGCAUGAAGCGGUGUGAAAAACUCUGGUGGUAUACGAUGGUUCCGCGUCUGAUUAGCUAGUUGGUGGGGUAAUGGCCUACCAAGGCAACGAUCAGUAGCCGGCCUGAGAGGGUGAACGGCCACAUUGGGACUGAGACACGGCCCAAACUCCUACGGAAGGCAGCAG